CAGCCGUAAACUAUGCUCGCCAGGUGUCAGGCAUGGCGCGACCGUGUCUGGUGCCGCAGGGAAGCCGUGAAGCGAGCCACCUGGGAAGUACGGCCGCAAGGCUGAAACUUAAAGGAAUUGGCGGGGGAGCACAACAACGGGUGGAGCCUGCGGUUUAAUUGGACUCAACGCCGGACAACUCACCGGGGACGACAGCAAUAUGUAGGCCAGGCUGAAGACCUUGCCUGAAUCGCUGAGAGGAGGUGCAUGGCGUAGACGUCU
rnacentral:rRNA from 1 species